rnacentral:rRNA from 1 species
AUUGAACGCUGGCGGCAGGCUUAACACAUGCAAGUCGAGCGAGCGGCGGACGGGUGAGUAAUGUCUGGGAAACUGCCUGAUGGAGGGGGAUAACUACUGGAAACGGUAGCUAAUACCGCAUACUAUCAGAUGUGCCCAGAUGGGAUUAGCUAGUAGGUGGGGUAAUGGCUCACCUAGGCGACGACCCCUAGCUGGUCUGAGAGGAUGACCGGCCACACUGGGACGGUGACACGGUCCAGUCUCCUACGGGAGUCAGCCGUGGGAAAUAUUGCGCGAUGGGCGCAAGCCUACUGCAGCCAUGCCGCGUGUGUGGCGAAGGCCUUCGGGUUGUAAAGCACUUGCAGCGAGGAGGCGUUACUCGCAGAAGAAGCACCGGCUAACUCCGUGCCAGCAGCCGCGGUAAUAC